UACGUAGGCAGCGAGCGUUGUUCGGAGUUACUGGGCGUAAAGGGCUCGUAGGCGGUUUGUCGCGUCGGGAGUGAAAUCCACUGGCUUAACUGGUGGCUUGCUUUCGAUACGGGCAGACUGGAGGUAUGCAGGGGAGAACGGAAUUCCUGGUGUAGCGGUGAAAUGCGCAGAUAUCAGGAGGAACACCGGUGGCGAAGGCGGUCUCUGGGCAUGUCCUGACGCUGAGGAGCGAAAGUGUGGGGAGCGAACAGG
rnacentral:rRNA from 1 species